rnacentral:rRNA from 1 species
UAGGGAAUCUUCCACAAUGGACGCAAGUCUGAUGGAGCAACGCCGCGUGAGUGAAGAAGGUUUUCGGAUCGUAAAGCUCUGUUGUUGGUGAAGAAGGAUAGAGGCAGUAACUGGUCUUUAUUUGACGGUAAUCAACCAGAAAGUCACGGCUAACUACGUGCCAGCAGCCGCGGUAAUACGUAGGUGGCAAGCGUUGUCCGGAUUUAUUGGGCGUAAAGCGAGCGCAGGCGGAAUGAUAAGUCUGAUGUGAAAGCCCACGGCUCAACCGUGGAACUGCAUCGGAAACUGUAAUUCUUGAGGGCAGAAGAGGAGAGUGGAAUUUCAUGUGGAGCGGGGGAAUGCGUAGAUAAAUGGAAGAACACCAGUGGCGAAGGCGGCUCUCUGGUCUGCAACUGACGCUGAGGCUCGAAAGCAUGGGUAGCGAACAGG